rnacentral:rRNA from 1 species
GGGCCCGCACAAGCGGUGGAGCAUGUGGUUUAAUUCGAUGAUACGCGAGGAACCUUACCAGGGCUUAAAUGUAGUGGGACAGGGUCUAGAGCAUAGACCCUUCUUUCGGACUCAUUACAAGGUGCUGCAUGGUUGUCGUCAGCUCGUGCCGUGAGGUGUCAGGUUAAGUCCUAUAACGAGCGCAACCCCUAUCGUUAGUUGCCAGCGGGUAAUGCCGGGAACUCUAGCGAAACUGCCGGUGCAAACCGUGAGGAAGGUGGGGAUGACGUCAAAUCAUCACGGCCCUUACGUCCUGGCCUACACACGUGCUACAAUGGUCGGUACAGAGAGCAGCCCACUAGCGCGAGUAGGAG